ACUGGUGCCCACUGUCUGGGGCCUGACCCUCCCUCCCCACUGCCCACAGGGACCCGGCCAUCCUGGCCCAGCACUCACAGGAGACAUUGAGCUGGAUGGUCCUCUCCACGGUCACCCCUGCUCCAGGGAAGGUCACCUUGCAGGCUGCACGGGAGCCUGCAACCCCAGCUCCUGGCCCCCUGCCCCUGCCGUGCUCUCACAUACACCUGCCGACACCAGGAAAGCAGGGACCCCCUGGCCGGACGCCGAGGGUUACAGCUCCUAGAGGCUCUGAACGUCCAUUCCACCAGGUUAUGGCGGCCAGACGUCUUCAGUGAAGCUGUGGGCAGGGCCACGCCCUCGGACGCCUGGGCAGAGCCUCCUUCCUGCUUCCUCUCGCUCCUGGGGCAGCCGGCCAUCCUUGGCAUCCCCCAUCUCUGCCCCAUCGUCCCUGGGCCUGGCCACCUCUGUGCCCUGAUUUCCCUCUCCCGAUGAGCACACCCGUCGUAUUGGACAAGUGCCCCCAGCUCAGUGUGGCCUCGUGUUCACUAAUCACACCCUCAAAGGCCUGUUUUCAGAUAAAGUCCCACUCAUGAGCAUGGGAGUUAGGA